AACUUUCAACAACGGAUCUCUUGGCUCUCGCAUCGAUGAAGAACGCAGCGAAAUGCGAUAAGUAAUGUGAAUUGCAGAAUUCAGUGAAUCAUCGAAUCUUUGAACGCCCCUUGCGCCUUUUGGUAUUCCGAAAGGCAUCCCUGUUUGAGUGUCAUGAAACCUCAAUCUAUCUGGG
rnacentral:rRNA from 1 species